UACGGAGGGAGCUAGCGUUGUUCGGAAUUACUGGGCGUAAAGCGCACGUAGGCGGCUUUGUAAGUUAGAGGUGAAAGCCUGGGGCUCAACUCCAGAAUUGCCUUUAAGACUGCAUCGCUUGAAUCAUGGAGAGGCGAGUGGAAUUCCGAGUGUAGAGGUGAAAUUCGUAGAUAUUCGGAAGAACACCAGUGGCGAAGGCGGCUCGCUGGACAGUUCCUGACACUGAGGCACGAAGGCCAGGGGAGCAAACGGG
rnacentral:rRNA from 1 species